UUCUAUGAAUUUUUCCAGAAGGAUGGGCAUAGACUGGAUCACAGAGCGUCCCAUGCUUAAAACCAUUAUGAAUACUGAAGCUUCCCCUAAAAAGUGGAUACGGAAAAGUUAUUCAGCAUAUCGGUUGCAGUAGUGCGAAAAUGAGAAAUCUUAUGAUUCCUCACUGCACAAUAGCAGUAACUGUUGUAAAAUUGGGAGAUUCUUUGCAGUGAUUUAUACUUACACGAACACAUUUUACACACUGAUAAUCUAAAGGAAGUCAAAAUCUAAGAAUAAUGUUAUGUAGAACCAAUGGUGCUAUAAAACUAGCCUAGGUGGCAGAUAAGUAGCAUAUUAAAUGUGACUUAUUUCUCUGCGUUUAAAGUGAUCUAUCAAUUCAUGAGACUGGUGCUAAAUAGCAUUACUCAAAAUUAAUAAAUGUCUUCACCUGCAAUGAGAAGACCAUAUAGUUGGGGAAAACCACCAAGUCAGAGGCUGCAUAUUGGUCUAUCCAAAUUGGAAAUUGAGGGACGGUAUAAAAAAUAGUUUUGCACUAUUUAGGCCAGGGAGAAA
rnacentral:lncRNA from 1 species